rnacentral:rRNA from 1 species
CCUACGGUGUGCUGCAGUGAGGAAUAUUGGUCAAUGGGCGGGAGCCUGAACCAGCCAAGUCGCGUGAGGGAAGACGGUCCUAUGGAUUGUAAACCUCUUUAGGCGGGGAGCAAUGCCGGGCACGCGUGCCCGGAGGGAGAGUACCCGCAGACUAAGCAUCGGCUAACUCCGUGCCAGCAGCCGCGGUAAUACGGAGGAGGCGAUCGUUCUCCGUUUUUCUUGGGUUUAAAGGGUGCGUAGGCGGAUGUUUAAGUCAGCGGUAAAAGGUCCGGGCUCAAUCCGGGCCGGCCGUUGAAACGGGGGAUCUUGAGUGGGCGAGAAGUAUGCGGAAGGCGUGGUGUAGCGGUGAAAUGCAUAGAUAUCACGCAGAACUCCGAUUGCGAAGGCAGCAUACCGGCGCCCGACUGACGCUGAGGCACGAAAGCGUGGGGAUCGAACAGGAUUAGAUACCCCAGUAGUC